rnacentral:rRNA from 1 species
CCUACGGGAGGCAGCAGUGAGGAAUAUUGGUCAAUGGGCGUAAGCCUGAACCAGCCAAGUCGCGUGAGGGAUGAAGGUUCUAUGGAUCGUAAACCUCUUUUAUAAGGGCAUAAAGUGUGGGACGUGUCCUAUUUUGUAUGUACCUUAUGAAUAAGGAUCGGCUAACUCGGUGCCAGCAGCCGCGGUAAUACGGAGGAUCCGAGCGUUAUCCGGAUUGAUUGGGUUUAAAGGGUGCGUAGGCGGGCUUUUAAGUCAGCGGUGAAAGGCUGUGGCUCAACCAUGGAAUUGCCGUUGAAACUGGGGGGCUUGAGUGUGUUUGAGGCAGGCGGAAUGCGUGGUGUAGCGGUGAAAUGCUUAGAUAUAACGCAGAACCCCGAUUGCGAAGGCAGCCUGCCAAGCCAUGACUGACGCUGAUGCACGAAAGCGUGGGGAGCAAACAGGAUUAGAUACCCGAGUAGUC